rnacentral:lncRNA from 1 species
GGCAGCUAUUACUCAGCUUCAGCAACAAUAAGUUCCAUGAGGUGAAUGCAUGUAUGAGCAGUCAGAGUCUUGAAAGAAAGAGAUGAUAUUUUGAAGGUACGGGCUGUGUCUGGGGACUUAAUAAGAGAUAGUAAAGGGCCCUGAGCUCCAAACAAUGAAGACUGCCACCAACCCUGAGCUCAAAGGCAUGAGAGGAGGCAGCCGUUAUUGCAACCCUGAGAGGCUGUCUGUCUGGACGGAUGACCUUCAGUAAAAAGACCUCUUCAACUCUGACCACCUGGCAAGGAGAGAUUCUAAGACGUGGAUGAAACACAGUCAGAACCCGAGAAUGCCAUGGCUUGGGAGGAAGGACAUUAUUGCUUUGAGCACCUGGAAAGGGAACACACUCACACACACCUCUUCAAGAGUUACAGGGACAGCGGCUGUUCUUCAGGACCGUCCUGUCUGGAAUACAGUAAGGCCAUGGCAGCCUGGCUAAAGAUGAAGAGUGUGGGCCUGCAGAGUGGAUCAGGGGGUGACCAUUGUCUCCAGUCCAUCCUGUGCUCAGUGAGUCAUUAAUUAAACCCAGAGUCUCCAUAAGUGACCUGUUUUGGCAUUGAGGCUUCUGCCACCUGGCUUUUACAGUGGAGCCUGGAGUCUGAAGAGUUUAAAUUAGUGUUCCUAUUCUUUGAGGCUGAAGUCUCCAUAUGGCAGCUACACUCAUUGGAUUUAGUGUGUUAAAUUACUCUUCUAUGCAUUGAAACC